GUUUUGGUGGGGGGUCAGUGGAAGGCUGGUUAAACCGUUUGGUUAUCGACCACUAAGACCCGGGUUCGAUUCCCGCAUUGGACA
rnacentral:tRNA from 1 species